rnacentral:rRNA from 1 species
AGAGUUUGAUCAUGGCUCAGAUUGAACGCUGGCGGCAGGCCUAACACAUGCAAGUCGAGCGGUAGCACAGAGAGCUUGCUCUCGGGUGACGAGCGGCGGACGGGUGAGUAAUGUCUGGGAAACUGCCUGAUGGAGGGGGAUAACUACUGGAAACGGUAGCUAAUACCGCAUAACGUCGCAAGACCAAAGUGGGGGACCUUCGGGCCUCAUGCCAUCAGAUGUGCCCAGAUGGGAUUAGCUAGUAGGUGGGGUAACGGCUCACCUAGGCGACGAUCCCUAGCUGGUCUGAGAGGAUGACCAGCCACACUGGAACUGAGACACGGUCCAGACUCCUACGGGAGGCAGCAGUGGGGAAUAUUGCACAAUGGGCGCAAGCCUGAUGCAGCCAUGCCGCGUGUGUGAAGAAGGCCUUCGGGUUGUAAAGCACUUUCAGCGGGGAGGAAGGCGUUAAGGUUAAUAACCUUGGCGAUUGACGUUACCCGCAGAAGAAGCACCGGCUAACUCCGUGCCAGCAGCCGCGGUAAUACGGAGGGUGCAAGCGUUAAUCGGAAUUACUGGGCGUAAAGCGCACGCAGGCGGUCUGUCAAGUCGGAUGUGAAAUCCCCGGGCUCAACCUGGGAACUGCAUUCGAAACUGGCAGGCUAGAGUCUUGUAGAGGGGGGUAGAAUUCCAGGUGUAGCGGUGAAAUGCGUAGAGAUCUGGAGGAAUACCGGUGGCGAAGGCGGCCCCCUGGACAAAGACUGACGCUCAGGUGCGAAAGCGUGGGGAGCAAACAGGAUUAGAUACCCUGGUAGUCCACGCCGUAAACGAUGUCGAUUUGGAGGUUGUGCCCUUGAGGCGUGGCUUCCGGAGCUAACGCGUUAAAUCGACCGCCUGGGGAGUACGGCCGCAAGGUUAAAACUCAAAUGAAUUGACGGGGGCCCGCACAAGCGGUGGAGCAUGUGGUUUAAUUCGAUGCAACGCGAAGAACCUUACCUGGUCUUGACAUCCACAGAACUUUCCAGAGAUGGAUUGGUGCCUUCGGGAACUGUGAGACAGGUGCUGCAUGGCUGUCGUCAGCUCGUGUUGUGAAAUGUUGGGUUAAGUCCCGCAACGAGCGCAACCCUUAUCCUUUGUUGCCAGCGGUCAGGCCGGGAACUCAAAGGAGACUGCCAGUGAUAAACUGGAGGAAGGUGGGGAUGACGUCAAGUCAUCAUGGCCCUUACGACCAGGGCUACACACGUGCUACAAUGGCAUAUACAAAGAGAAGCGACCUCGCGAGAGCAAGCGGACCUCAUAAAGUAUGUCGUAGUCCGGAUUGGAGUCUGCAACUCGACUCCAUGAAGUCGGAAUCGCUAGUAAUCGUAGAUCAGAAUGCUACGGUGAAUACGUUCCCGGGCCUUGUACACACCGCCCGUCACACCAUGGGAGUGGGUUGCAAAAGAAGUAGGUAGCUUAACCUUCGGGAGGGCGCUUACCACUUUGUGAUUCAUGACUGGGGUGAAGUCGUAACAAGGUAACCGUAGGGGAACCUGCGGUUG